UACGGGGGGGGCAAGCGUUGUUCGGAAUUACUGGGCGUAAAGGGCUCGUAGGCGGCCCACUAAGUCAGACGUGAAAUCCCUCGGCUUAACCGGGGAACUGCGUCUGAUACUGGAGGGCUUGAGUUCGGGAGAGGGAUGCGGAAUUCCAGGUGUAGCGGUGAAAUGCGUAGAUAUCUGGAGGAACACCGGUGGCGAAGGCGGCCACCUGGACGGUAACUGACGCUGAGACGCGAAAGCGUGGGGAGCAAACAGG
rnacentral:rRNA from 1 species